AAUUUGUGAAGACUAUUAAACUAAGCAAUUUAAUAAGAAAUGCAAUUAAAAUGAUAUCAGUUUGGAGGAACUUAGGGCAAGGAAUUCACCACUAACAUUGGAAUAAGGGUUAAUUGUAUUUUUAAUUUAUUCUUGGAUUAUUAUGCAAAUUGGCUACAAGCCUAAUAAGCAUUCGAAUAAAAUUUUACAAAAGUAAUUUAGACAUAAUCCAUCUUUAGUUAGCAUGAAAUGUCUACCCUAAUCUAAGGUGGCAGCACAUCGCAUCUUCCUUAAGCAUGAAUUAUCUUAUUUUUACUUCAAUGAUCAUGACGAACAGCUGUAUAAACUUCAUAUUUAAAAUCACAAAAAUUAAACAUGAAAUAAAAGAAGAUAUUCAUUAAAAACAAUAAGUUCAUACAACUCCAAGAAUAUAAAAUUAAAAAUAUAAAAUCUGUGUCCCUUUGUUAGGGCUUCAUCCAGCCCUAGUGAGGAAUUUAAGCUUUCAUGCAGUGGUGGACGGCAGCAACAGCACAGCAGCGGGCUUCCAUCUCUUUCUUCUCUUCUUCUUCUUGCGAUUCCCUUUAGAACAGCUCCUUCUUAUCUCUCAUGGGAAAUCAUUCCCAAAAUACCCAAAAUGUUUCUCUCUCCUUUUAUUUCUUCUUCUUCCCGUGGGAUUUGGCAUGAGAGAAAUGGGUUCAUGGGAUCCGUCUCCUCCCCUUUUAUAGCUGCAAGCUCCCCCUCCCUCCUCCUCUGUUCCUUCACGUGGGUGGGACGAUAAGGUUGUCAAGGGUUGAUCUGAUCCGCUGCGUAUCUGAUCCGGACGCUGGGGAGAGCAUGAGCUGUGAGCUGAUCGCGGAGUACUCGGACGCGGAAGUGGGAUUGGAGCUUAUCCGUGGAUGAAGAGGAGGAUCUUGGCUCUGUUCCGAAGCAGGGGAGGAUGCGUUUGGAUAUUUGCAUUUGAUUCGGCUUGGUUCUGAGAGAUAAUCUUUGCAAUCAGUUCGGGCGUUGAAGACUUAUCCGUUGAUGAAUGAAUCAAUCCAAACGGAAAGAAGGCCGUGGACGUGGAGGGAACUUGGACGUGAAACUUCACGCGGAACAGGGGAUGCGGAUGAAGCUUAUGGCUGGCAGCUGGGAGUUGAAGCUUAGAUCGAAUCCGUAGGAGGUUGGGAUGUCGCCGCUGGCUGGAUGUGGAUGAGAAGAAAUCUGGGAGGAUCAAUCCGAACUGAUUCAAGGGGUUGACGCGCUGAAGCUCGCAUGCAUGGGGUGAGCGGAAGAAGAAGAAGAUGGGCAGUUGUUCGGCUGGGAAGUCUUGGGAGGAAUCACGGAAUAUCCGGACAUGGGAGGAUGGAAUGAACGAAGUGAAGGAUGCCUGGUGAUGUGGAUGCGGUGGGAGAGAGGAAGAUGAGGAUAAGGAAAUGAACUGGAAGCAUGGAGUUGGGAUCAAUCCAGAAUGACAGUUGCUGGUUCUCGCACGGAACAGGGGAUUUGAAUUUAUCCGGGCUAGCGGGAGCAAUCCACGGAAUGGGGAGAAGAUGAGUUCAACAUUCGGCUGGGAGCGCAAGGGAACAGUGGAUAAGCUUUGUUCCACUGGAAACAGGGGAGCUGGGAGCUUAUCCAGAUGCUGGCCACGGGAUCAAACGUGGGAUGUGUUCUCGGCUGAGAGGAGAUGAGUUGCUGGGAUUCUGGACGUAAUCCGGAACAAGAGGAAGGUUGAAGGCUAUCACGAAUGGUAGGGGGGGGCUGCUGACGUGGAUAUGCUGGGGUCAAUCCAGAAUGCAGGAUGGUUUGGAAGAAGUGGAUGAGGAGAAAUCCGUUGGGAUGAAUACGCGAAGAAAAAGAUCAUGGGCGUGGGACCUUUUGGAACUU
rnacentral:lncRNA from 1 species